ensembl:lncRNA
CCGGGUGCCUGCUUAACGGCCAAAUGACAGGCAACAUCUGUUUGUAAGAAAGCCAAGAUCGACUCUUAAAAAAAUUGUCUUGAUUCUCUCUCUUUCACUCUCUCUAUCUCUCUCUCUCUCUCUCUCUAUUGCUCUCUUUCACUGACUCACUCUGUUGAAUAAAAGCGAAAGAAAGAAGAGACUGUGGAAAUUCGGCGAAAGGGAAAAUGGAGUUGUGCACCAGCCCCUUCACCCCUUUUAACCUCGCCCCUUCCGUUAACGCUUCUCUUCCCCAGCUGGAGAGAGAGAGUCCAGGUCACUAGGCUGCUCGUUAUGGCGCACACCUGUCACAAUCGUU